rnacentral:misc_RNA from 1 species
UUAGUUUAAAUUGUUUGAAUAAAAUUUGGUCAUUUCUUUAACUGAUUACAUUCAUGUAUAAAUAUUAGAUUUAUGAAUGUGGUUGAGUAUUUAUCAAGGGGAUUACUUCAACUAAGAACUGUGGUUCGUGUCCACAGCUAGCGGUUUUAGAUGUGAAGAUACAAAGCGUAGUGAGGAAGAAAAAGAGAUUUAUGCAACCUAGAA